GAUGAACGCUGGCGGCGUGCCUAAUACAUGCAAGUCGAGCGAGCGGCGGACGGGUGCGUAACACGUGAUAACCUACCUAUACGACUGGGAUAACUACUGGAAACGGUAGCUAAUACCGCAUACCAUCGGAUGUGCCCAGAUGGGAUUGGCGAGUAGGUGGGGUAACGGCUCACCUAGGCGACGAUCCCUAGCGGGUCUGAGAGGAUGACCAGCCACACUGCAACUGAGAGACGGUCCAGACUCCUACGGGAGGCAGCAGUGGGGAAUAUUGCGCAAUGGGCGCAAGCCUGAUGGAGCCAUGCCGCGUGUAUGAAGAAGGUCUUCGGGUUGUAAAGUACUUUCAGCGAGGAGGCGUUACUCGCAGAAGAAGCACCGGCUAACUCCGUGCCAGCAGCCGCGGUAAUAC
rnacentral:rRNA from 1 species